UGCUCCACACGUCAAGGUUCUGCCACAGGCACAAUUUCUUCCACAGUGUUAUUCUCUGAUUACAUCUCACGUCCAGAAGACCACACCAGCAUCCUCCACUUUGACAAGAACGAGACACAGAAGACCUGCCGGGUCCUGAUCAUUGAUGACUCCCUUUAUGAAGAGGAGGAAUCCUUCAGCGUUUCACUUAGGCUGCCAGUGGGAGGACAGCUGGGAGCCAGAUUCCCCACCACUAAGGUGACUAUUCUGGCUGAUCGUUAUGAUGAUGGAGCUGAGGAAUUUUAUUCUAUUUUGCUGGACUCCAGGAAAUGUUUGCUUCCUUAAGCAGAGAUUGAAUAUUCCCCUGUCAAAUGGAUCACCUGAAGAAAUACUUUUAUAAGGACAACUAUCAUGGAGUAAGACAAA
rnacentral:sRNA from 1 species